rnacentral:rRNA from 1 species
AUGUUCAAGAGCCCACUCACAGAUCAUCUUCGAUCUUCAUUUUGUUCGACAUCAUCUAUCAUGCCUCUUCUUGUGGCGCUGCCCGUGCCCAUCUCUGUUAGAGCUAGCACGGGUGCUCUUUCUAGUACCGGUGCCGCAUCUCCUUCAGCAAAUGCUGAUGGCCUCCUGUUCGAUGAUCUUGUGCUCGGUGACGGUGAGGGAAGCAAGAAUGAGACGGACGACGACCCUGCUGUGAAGUUGGAGUGGCUCAGGUCACAGAUCAUCGGCGCGGAAGCAGAGUUCGCGUCGCCGUUCGGGACUCGCCGCAUCACGUACGCCGACCACACGGCGUCCGGCCGCUGCCUGCUCUUCGUCGAGGAGUUCGUGCAGCGGAACGUUCUCCCGUAUUACGGCAACACGCACACGGUGGACAGCUACGUGGGCAUGCACACGAGCAAGCUAGCCAGGGAGGCGGCGCGGUACGUGAAGCGCAGCCUGGGAGGCGGCCCACAGGACGUGCUGCUCUUCUGCGGCACGGGCUGCACCGCCGCCAUCAAGCGCCUCCAGGAGGUGACCGGCAUGGCCGUCCCUCCCACGCUGCGCUCCAGGGUGCUGGAGGUCCUGCCGCCGUCCGACCGGUGGGUGGUAUUCGUCGGGCCGUACGAGCACCACUCCAACCUGCUCUCGUGGCGGGAGAGUCUCGCGGAGGUGGUCGAGAUCAGGCUGCGGCAGGACGACGGCCUCGUCGACAUGGCGGCCCUGGAGGAGGCGCUGGCAGCGCUCGGGCGCGCGGGGCGGCCCAUGCUGGGCUCUUUCUCGGCGUGCAGCAACGUCACCGGGCUGCGCACCGACACGCGGGCCGUGGCGCGCCUGCUGCACCGGCACGGCGCCUUCGCCUGCUUCGACUUUGCAUGCAGCGCACCCUACGUCGACAUCGACAUGAGGUCCGGGGAGCCGGAUGGCUACGACGCCGUCUUCCUGAGCGCGCACAAGUUCCUCGGCGGGCCCGGCAGCCCGGGCAUCCUCGCGAUGGCGUCGCGGCUCUACCGCCUCCGCCGCACCGCGCCGUCCACCAGCGGCGGGGGCACCGUGCUCUACGUCAGCGGCUUCGACCACGGAGACACGGUGUACUGCGAGGACACGGAGGAGCGCGAGGACGCGGGGACGCCGGCCAUCAUACAGAAGGUCCGAGCAGCGCUGGCGUUCAAGGUGAAGGAGUGGGUCGGGGCGGAGUGCAUCGAGGAGGGCGAGCAGCGCAUGCUCGCCCUCGCCCUCCGCCGGAUCCGGACGGCUGCCAACCCCAACCUGCGGCUGCUGCUCGGCGGCGACCCCGGCACCACCGCAAGCCGGCUCCCGGUGCUCUCUUUCGUGGUGUACCCUCCGGUCGUCGACGAGAACAAGGAGGCGGGGCCGGCGAGGCCGCAGUUGCACUGCCGGUUCGUGACGAAGCUACUGAACGAUCUGUUCGGCGUGCAGGCUCGCGGGGGCUGCGCCUGCGCAGGGCCUUACGGCCACCGGCUGCUCGGCAUCACCCCGGCGCGAGCCAAAGCCAUUAAAUCCGCCGUCGAGAUGGGCUAUCACGGUGUGCGGCCAGGGUGGACGCGUGUCAGCCUGGCGUACUACACGUCGGCGCGCGAGGCGGAGUUCGUGCUGGAGGCCAUAGACUUCGUUGCCAGUUUCGGCCACCGGUUUCUGCCGCUCUACACCUUCGACUGGAAAUCCGGGGACUGGCUGUACAACCGCACCUGCGGCCGCGUCCGGCCAGACAACCGGCCGGUCGCCGAUACUACCAUAACUAGUGCUGCUGCUCUUGAGUCACACAGUGGAGAAGUCAAAGCAGAGCACGAUUACCAGAGCUACAUGGCGUUUGCACGGAACCUGGCCGAGUCCCUGCUCAACACUGGCCUGGAUGACACUCCGGCUAGGGGCAUUCCCAAAGCCAUUGACCAACAGUUGGUUUACUUUAUGACGUGA